GAAAUAUGAGAUCCGAGAAUGAGCUUCUAACUCACCCCUCAAGCGAUGAGACUUCGUUUAUAUUUCG
rnacentral:tRNA from 1 species